rnacentral:lncRNA from 1 species
GAACAGACAUGAUCAUGCCUGGAGAACAGGGAUGGACAGUCCCGCUUCUGAAAGACCCUGUCUGGCUGAUGAUUCAUGGUGCGCCGGGCAGACCCCAGGCCAAGAGACCCCACCCACAGUACCUGAGUGCUCAGCUGGGAACCAGACCAGACCUCAAAACAGGUUCCCAAGGUUACCACCCAACCCUGCCAACUUUCGCACCCCGCAAGGAGCAAGACCCCGCCCGCUCACCACCUGCCUGUGCAGCCAACGGGCCUCGCUGAGCUGCCCUGGGCCGCUCCCUCCAUUCACACAGUUGGCCCUCCCUCUCCCUGCCUCCCUUCGCCUACCCCACGAACUACUUCAUCCCUCUGGGCCGGCACUGUAGAAGCCCCAUUGUUCACAUCGACCUCCCAAUUAUCUCCUCUUUCCCUCUCCCUCUGCUCCUGCCCAGACCAGCCCCCCAGCAUUGACCUGGAUGCCUGCCACAGCCUCCUCCCUGGUCUCCGGCCUCCCACCUCUGCUCCUCGGUCUCCUCUACCCAGCCAGUAACUGCAGAGAGCACUAAAGCACAGUCCUGGCAUCUCACCCCCUUAACCCUGGCCACGGCUUCCCAGUGCCUCCAAGAUAAAGCACCAACACCUGAGGACAGCAGCUUGUUUUGAGAGUCCCCUCCAUUGAAACACGCACAUCUAAUUUGUCCUUCAGUUCGCUGGACUCCACGCUGAACGUGCCAUGCUCCAUUGCCCCGUGGGGCCACCCGCAGACUGUAACCGGCUGGUUCAAGAUCAAGGACUUCCCCAGGCCACCUGCCUCAGAGGCAAGAAAGGCUCAGCUGAGUCCCAGACACUCCUCGCUGUGGCCCCUCCUUCCUCCCUGCUGGGCAGGCCCCCCUCAAUUCUGUUUGCCAGCAGGGCCUAGUAACACUGAAAGACGAAAAGGGAAAUAAAAUAAACACAAUUAAUAGGCUAAA